GCUUACGGCCAUACCACCUUAGGCACGCCCGAUCUCGUCUGAUCUCGGAAGCUAAGCAGGGUCGGGCCUGGUUAGUACUUGGAUGGGUGACCACCUGGGAAUACCAGGUGCUGUAAGCA
rnacentral:rRNA from 1 species